rnacentral:rRNA from 1 species
GAUGAACGCUGGCGGCGUGCCUAAUACAUGCAAGUCGAGCGAACGGACGAGAAGCUUGCUUCUCUGAUGUUAGCGGCGGGCGGGUGAGUAACACGUGGAUAACCUACCUAUAAGACUGGGAUAACUUCGGGAAACCGUAGCUAAUACCGGAUAAUAUUUUGAACCGCAUGGUUCAAAGUGAAAGACGGUCUUGCUGUCACUUAUAGAUGGAUCCGCGCUGCAUUAGCUAGUUGGUAAGGUAACGGCUUACCAAGGCAACGAUGCAUAGCCGACCUGAGAGGGUGAUCGGCCACACUGGAACUGAGACACGGUCCAGACUCCUACGGGAGGCAGCAGUAGGGAAUCUUCCGCAAUGGGCGAAAGCCUGACGGAGCAACGCCGCGUGAGUGAUGAAGGUCUUCGGAUCGUAAAACUCUGUUAUUAGGGAAGAACAUAUGUGUAAGUAACUGUGCACAUCUUGACGGUACCUAAUCAGAAAGCCACGGCUAACUACGUG